AUUGAACGCUGGCGGCAGGCCUAACACAUGCAAGUCGAACGGUAACAGGAAGAAGCUUGCUUCUUUGCUGACGAGUGGCGGACGGGUGAGUAAUGUCUGGGAAACUGCCUGAUGAAGGGGGAUAACUACUGGAAACGGUAGCUAAUACCGCAUAACGUCGCAAGACCAAAGAGGGGGACCUUCGGGCCUCUUGCCAUCGGAUGUGCCCAGAUGGGAUUAGCUAGUAGGUGGGGUAACGGCUCACCUAGGCGACGAUCCCUAGCUGGUCUGAGAGGAUGACCAGCCACACUGGAACUGAGACACGGUCCAGACUCCUACGGGAGGCAGCAGUGGGGAAUAUUGCACAAUGGGCGCAAGCCUGAUGCAGCCAUGCCGCGUGUAUGAAGAAGGCCUUCGGGUUGUAAAGUACUUUCAGCGGGGAGGAAGGGAGUAAAGUUAAUACCUUUACUCAUUGACGUUACCCGCAGAAGAAGCACCGGCUAACUCCGUG
rnacentral:rRNA from 1 species